AUGAACGCUGGCGGCGUGCCUCAUACAUGCCAGUCGCGCGAACAGACGAGGAGCUUGCUCCUCUGACGUUAGCGGCGGACGGGUGAGUAACACGUGGAUAACCUACCUAUAAGACUGGGAUAACUUCGGGAAACCGGAGCUAAUACCGGAUAAUAUAUUGAACCGCAUGGUUCAAUAGUGAAAGACGGUUUUGCUGUCACUUAUAGAUGGAUCCGCGCCGCAUUAGCUAGUUGGUAAGGUAACGGCUUACCAAGGCAACGAUGCGUAGCCGACCUGAGAGGGUGAUCGGCCACACUGGAACUGAGACACGGUCCAGACUCCUACGGGAGGCAGCAGUAGGGAAUCUUCCGCAAUGGGCGAAAGCCUGACGGAGCAACGCCGCGUGAGUGAUGAAGGUCUUCGGAUCGUAAAACUCUGUUAUUAGGGAAGAACAAAUGAGUAAGUAACUAUGCACGUCUUGACGGUACCUAAUCAGAAAGCCACGGCUAACUACGUG
rnacentral:rRNA from 1 species